rnacentral:rRNA from 1 species
AGUCGAACGGUAACAGGAAUUAGCUUGCUAAUUUGCUGACGAGUGGCGCACGGGUGCGUAACGCGUAUACAAUCUACCUUUUACAGUGGGAUAGCCCAGAGAAAUUUGGAUUAAUACCGCAUAGUAUUAUGAAUUGGCAUCGAUUUACAAUUAAAGUUUCGGCGGUAAAAGAUGAGUAUGCGUUCUAUUAGCUAGAUGGUAAGGUAACGGCUUACCAUGGCAACGAUAGAUAGGGGCCCUGAGAGGGGGAUCCCCCACACUGGUACUGAGACACGGACCAGACUCCUACGGGAGGCAGCAGUGAGGAAUAUUGGACAAUGGGCGACAGCCUGAUCCAGCCAUGCCGCGUGCAGGAAGACUGCCCUAUGGGUUGUAAACUGCUUUUAUACAGGAAGAAACACUCCCUCGUGAGGGAGCUUGACGGUACUGUAAGAAUAAGGAUCGGCUAACUCCGUGCCAGCAGCCGCGGUAAUACGGAGGAUCCAAGCGUUAUCCGGAAUCAUUGGGUUUAAAGGGUCCGUAGGUGGAUAAUUAAGUCAGGGGUGAAAGUCUGCAGCUCAACUGUAGAAUUGCCUUUGAUACUGGUUAUCUUGAGUUAUUAUGAAGUAGUUAGAAUAUGUGGUGUAGCGGUGAAAUGCAUAGAUAUCACAUAGAAUACCAAUUGCGAAGGCAGAUUACUAAUAAUAUACUGACACUGAUGGACGAAAGCGUGGGGAGCGAACAGGAUUAGAUACCCUGGUAGUCCACGCCGUAAACGAUGGUUACUAGCUGUUCGGACUUCGGUUUGAGUGGCUAAGCGAAAGUGAUAAGUAACCCACCUGGGGAGUACGUUCGCAAGAAUGAAACUCAAAGGAAUUGACGGGGGCCCGCACAAGCGGUGGAGCAUGUGGUUUAAUUUCGAUGAUACGCGAGGAACCUUACCAGGGCUUAAAUGUAGAUUGACAGGUUUA